ACGCAAGACUAUUACUGAAAGGAAGUAAGAACGAGAUCAGUAUAGGAAUACGAGCGCAUUUAUGCAGAAUAGAUGCGGUAAGUGAUAGCAUGUGUAGGGCAUGUGGGGAAGAUGAUGAGACGUUGGAGCAUUUCCUAUGUCAUUGCAUUGGCUUUCAAGGCUAGCAGACACGAGGACACAAUACCCGACUUGAACCGACUAAGGAGCGUGGAAAGGAGAACACCUAAAUAUUUUUUGAUGAGACCUUGAUGUGGAUAUCACAACGAUGGAACUUGCUUUACGGUACAGGUGAAUGCUUGGCUCAAGCAGUGGAUCUCUGUGGCAUUUUUUAUACUUUGUUUGAACUCAUUGAUGUAGUCACUCACUCGCACUCCACCAUUGGAAGUAAUGAUUCUAUUGUAUAUUAAUUAUUGAUGGCGUGCACUUGGCUAUUAGAUGGUUUAUCUUGGUCAAGGUUUUCUAAAUGAAAGUUUUUAUUUGCAAGUUUUUCAAUUAACUUUGAUUGAGACACUAACAAAUAAGGAAAGAACCAUAAGGGUACGCACAAUAGAGUAAAGCGGUUAGUGCUGGCUAAUGCAAGAUAUAUAACAAUACAAG
rnacentral:sRNA from 1 species